CAGUAGCCGCGGUAAUACGGAGGGUCCGAGCGUUAAUCGGAAUUACUGGGCGUAAAGCGUGCGCAGGCGGUUUGUUAAGCGAGAUGUGAAAGCCCUGGGCUCAACCUAGGAAUAGCAUUUCGAACUGGCGAACUAGAGUCUUGUAGAGGGGGGUAGAAUUCCAGGUGUAGCGGUGAAAUGCGUAGAGAUCUGGAGGAAUACCGGUGGCGAAGGCGGCCCCCUGGACAAAGACUGACGCUCAUGCACGAAAGCGUGGGGAGCAAACAGGAUUAGAUACCCCAGUAGUCCCUGUCUCUUAUAC
rnacentral:rRNA from 1 species